rnacentral:rRNA from 1 species
CAGUCGCCGCGGUAAUACGUAGGGUGCAAGCGUUAAUCGGAAUUACUGGGCGUAAAGCGUGCGCAGGCGGUUAUAUAAGACAGAUGUGAAAUCCCCGGGCUCAACCUGGGAACUGCAUUUGUGACUGUAUAGCUAGAGUACGGCAGAGGGGGAUGGAAUUCCGCGUGUAGCAGUGAAAUGCGUAGAUAUGCGGAGGAACACCGAUGGCGAAGGCAAUCCCCUGGGCCUGUACUGACGCUCACGCACGAAAGCGUGGGGAGCAAACAGGAUUAGAUACCCCCGUAGUCCCUGUCUCUUAUAU